GACGUAGGGCGCGAGCGUUGUCCGGAUUUACUGGGCGUAAAGAGCGCGCAGGCGGUCGUUCAAGUCGAGUGUGAAAGCCCCCGGCUCAACUGGGGAGGGUCACUCGAUACUGAUCGACUUGAAGGCAGGAGAGGGAAGCGGAAUUCCCGGUGUAGUGGUGAAAUGCGUAGAUAUCGGGAGGAACACCAGUGGCGAAGGCGGCUUCCUGGCCUGUUCUUGACGCUGAGGCGCGAAAGCGUGGGGAGCGAUCCGG
rnacentral:rRNA from 1 species